AUUGAACGCCGGCGGCAGGCCUAACACAUGCAAGUCGAACGAACCCUUCGGGGUUAGUGGCGGACGGGUAAGUAACACGUGGGAACGUGCCUUUAGGUUCGGAAUAACUCAGGGAAACUUGUGCUACUACCGAAUGUGCCCUUCGGGGGAAAGAUUUAUCGCCUUUAGAGCGGCCCGGGUCUGAUUAGCUAGUUGGUGAGGUAAUGGCUCACCAAGGCUACGAUCAGUAGCUGGUCUGAGAGGAUGACUAGCCACAUUGGGACUGAGACACGGCCCAAACUCCUACGGGAGGCAGCAGUGGGGAAUCUUGCGCAAUGGGCGAAAGCCUGACGCAGCCAUGCCGCGUGGAUGAUGAAGGUCUUAGGAUUGUAAAAUCCUUUCACCGGUGAAGAUAAUGAGUGUAGCCGGAGAAGAAGCCCCGGCUAACUUCGUGCCAGCCGCCGCGGUAACAC
rnacentral:rRNA from 1 species